AGUGAAUAGAUACCCCGGUAGUCCCAGCUGUAAACGAUGCGCGUUAGGUGUAUCGGUGACCACGAGUCACCGAGGUGCCGAAAGGGAAACCGUGAAACGUGCCGCCUGGGAAGUACGGUCGCAAGGCUGAAACUUAAAGGAAUUGGCGGGGGAGCACCACAACAGGUGGAGCCUGCGGUUUAAAUCGGACUCAACGCCGGGAAGCUCACCGGAUAAGACAGCUGAAUGAUAGCCGGGUUGAAGACUCUGCUUGACUAGCUGAGAGGAGGUGCAUGGCCGUCGUCAGUUCGUACUGUGAAGCAUCCUGUUAAGUCAGGCAACGAGCGAGACCCACGCCAACAGUUGCCAGCAUGUCCUCCGGGAUGGUGGGGACACUGUUGGGACCGCCUCUGCUAAAGAGGAGGAAGGAAUGGGCAACGGUAGGUCAGCAUGCCCCGAAUUAUCCGGGCUACACGCGGGCUACAAUGGUCAGGACAAUGGGUAUCAACACCGAAAGGUGAAGGCAAUCUCCUAAACCUGUCCUUAGUUCGGAUUGUGGGCU
rnacentral:rRNA from 1 species